GUGCCAGCAGCCGCGGUAAUACGUAGGGUGCGAGCGUUAAUCGGAAUUACUGGGCGUAAAGCGAGCGCAGACGGUUAAUUAAGUCAGAUGUGAAAUCCCCGAGCUCAACUUGGGACGUGCAUUUGAAACUGGUUAACUAGAGUGUGUCAGAGGGAGGUAGAAUUCCACGUGUAGCAGUGAAAUGCGUAGAGAUGUGGAGGAAUACCGAUGGCGAAGGCAGCCUCCUGGGAUAACACUGACGUUCAUGCUCGAAAGCGUGGGUAGCAAACAGGAUUAGAUACCCUGGUAGUCCACGCCCUAAACGAUGACAAUUAGCUGUUGGGACACUAGAUGUCUUAGUAGCGAAGCUAACGCGUGAAAUUGUCCGCCUGGGGAGUACGGUCGCAAGAUUAAAACUCAAAGGAAUUGACGG
rnacentral:rRNA from 1 species